CGAAAGCCUGACGGAGCAACGCCGCGUGAGGGAUGAAGGCCUCUGGGCUGUAAACCUCUUUUAUCAAGGAAGAAGAUCUGACGGUACUUGAUGAAUAAGCCUCGGCUAAUUCCGUGCCAGCAGCCGCGGUAAUACGGGAGWGGCAAGCGUUAUCCGGAAUUAUUGGGCGUAAAGCGUCCGCAGGCGGCUUAGUAAGUCUGUUGUCAAAGCGUGGRGCUUAACYCCAUUUCGGCAAUGGAAACUAYUAGGCUUGAGUGUGGUAGGGGCAGAGGGAAUUCCCGGUGUAGCGGUGAAAUGCGUAGAUAUCGGGAAGAACACCAGUG
rnacentral:rRNA from 1 species